rnacentral:rRNA from 2 species
GAGAGAGUAAACAGUGCGUGAAACCGCUCAGAGGUAAACAGGUGGAGUUGAACUGCAAGCUCUGAGAAUUCAGCUGAUGAGUGUGGCUUGAGCUUGGUCAAAUUGGUUGGACUUCGGGGUCUGCGUAGUAGCAGGUCUUUGCCUUCGGGUAGAGAUGCGCGUUGCACUUAUCAAGUGCUGUGCGCCCUGUUUGUUCUUCGGCCUGCUUGUCAGUGCACUUUCUCAGAGUAGUCACCACGACCGGCACUGCCGUCAGGCUGCUUUGGUUAAACCGUUCUCGUAUCGCCUUCGUGGCUUUACUUGAUCGGGAUGGCAGGUAGCUCGUUGACUUGUUUGUGGCUUGCUGCAAACGUCCGGUCUUCGAGUGUAAUCAGCUGACCCUAGUAGUUCUGUGCGGUGUGUCGGAGACGGCGGCUUGUGGUGUGUGCAUGCGUGCCUAUCCUGCGGACCUGUCCGAGUUUGGUUGUCAUGUUGCCUGUUCAAGCAGGCCUGAUGAUGGCUCGGGUUUGUUCUGUGGGUGGUUGCGUGUGUGACACUAAACCAAGGGCCAACAGUCUGUGGUGUAGUGGUAGACGAUCCACCUGACCC